CAAUUACAAUUUAUUAAAUCACAAGUUAUGUAACAAUACAAAGUGCACUUAACAGAAUAUCCAAUGAAAUAACAUCUGACAAAAUGCAUUUCGCUUGUUCAGCUUCUUCAGUCAGCCAGGGUGCCAGGGUUUUUAAAUGUUCAUCCAGAUCAGGCUUUUCCUUAGCAGAACAUGCUACUGGUAGAACAUUAGAAUGGAGCCUAUAAAUGACAAAAAAAAAAUGGCCGUGCUGAGAAGAGUAAUAAAUAGCAUUAUUACAUGCAAAUCCAGUCCAUGGGAGCAGGUCUG